rnacentral:rRNA from 1 species
UGAGGAAUAUUGGGCAAUGCCCGCAAGGGUGACCCAGCAACGCCGCGUGGAGGAUGAAUGUCGUAAGAUUGUAAACUCCUGUUAGAGGGGAAGAAUAGUACCGGUUGGACCGGUAUAUGACUGUACCCUCAGAGAAAGCCCCGGCUAACUACGUGCCAGCAGCCGCGGUAAUACAUAGGGGGCAAGCGGUGUCCGGAUUUACUGGGUGUAAAGGGCGCGCAGGCGGGAUAAAAAGUCAGUGGUGAAAUCCUACAGCUUAACUGUAGAACUGCCUUCGAUACUUUUAUUCUUGAGUGCGGGAGAGAGAGACGGAAUUCCAGGUGUAGUGGUGAAAUACGUAGAUAUCUGGAAGAACACCAGUUGCGAAGGCGGUCUCUUGGUCCGACACUGACGCUGAGGCGCGAAAGCGUGGGGAGCAAACA